CCCUUAGAUGUUCUGGGCCGCACACGCGCUACACUGAAGGAGGCAGCGUGUACUCCUGGAUCGAAAGAUUUGGGUAACCCGCGAAUCUCCUUCGUGCUAGGGAUUGAGGUUUGCAAUUAUCCUUCAUGAACGAGGAAUUCCCAGUAAGUGCAAGUCAUAAGCUUGCGCUGACUACGUCCCUGCCCUUUGUACACACCGCCCGUCGCUACUACCGAUUGAAUGAUUUAGUGAGGACUUCGGACUGGGACCGAUGCGGCUUUCGGGCUGCGUCGGUAUUCUGGAAAGAUGUCCAAACUGUAUCAUUUAGAGGAAGUAAAAGUCGUANCA
rnacentral:rRNA from 1 species